rnacentral:rRNA from 1 species
GCAGUCGAGCGAGGCCCUUCCUUCGGGAAGGUGUCCUAGCGGCGAACGGGUGAGUAACACGUGGGCAACCUGCCCCUAGCACUGGGAUAACCCCGGGAAACCGGGGCUAAUACCGGAUACGACCUCCUUGGGCAUCCUCGGAGGUGGAAAAGGUUACUGGCUAGGGAUGGGCCCGCGGCCUAUCAGCUUGUUGGUGAGGUAACGGCCCACCAAGGCUUCGACGGGUAGCCGGCCUGAGAGGGCGACCGGCCACACUGGGACUGAGACACGGCCCAGACUCCUACGGGAGGCAGCAGUGGGGAAUAUUGCACAAUGGGCGAAAGCCUGAUGCAGCGACGCCGCGUGAGGGAUGACGGCCUUCGGGUUGUAAACCUCUUUCAGCAGGGACGAAGCGAAAGUGACGGUACCUGCAGAAGAAGCACCGGCCAACUACGUGCCAGCAGCCGCGGUAAUACGUAGGGUGCAAGCGUUGUCCGGAAUUAUUGGGCGUAAAGAGCUCGUAGGCGGUCUGUUACGUCGGCUGUGAAAACCUGGGGCUCAACCCCGGGCCUGCAGCCGAUACGGGCAGACUAGAAUUCGGUAGGGGAGACUGGAAUUCCUGGUGUAGCGGUGAAAUGCGCAGAUAUCANGAGGAACACCGGUGGCGAANGCGGGUCUCUGGGCCGAUAUUGACGCUGAGGAGCGAAAGCGUGGGGAGCGAACAGGAUUAGAUACCCUGGUAGUCCACGCCGUAAACGUUGGGCGCUAGGGUGGGCUCCAUUCCACGGANUCUGUGCCGCANCUAACGCANUAAGCGCCCCGCCUGGGGAGUA